rnacentral:lncRNA from 1 species
CCGGGUUCAAGCCAUUCUCCUGCCUCAGCUUUCCAAGUAGCUAGGAUUACAGGCAUGUGUCACCACGCCCAGCUAAUUUUUCGUGUUUUUAGUAGAGACGGGGUUUCACCAUGUUGGCCGGGCUGGUCACGAACUCCUGACCUGAAACGAUCCACCUGCCUCGGCCUCCCAAAGUGCUGGGAUUCCAGGCAUGAGCCACCGCGCCUGGCCUACUCAUCAAUUCUUGGACCCAUGUAUUCUGACUCUGGGGAGACAGUACCAUGGAAGGCUUUAUGACUCAAAGCGUACACCUUGACCUGUGAGUCAGAAUUCCUUUCUAAGGGUUGUCCCCCAUUUGGCCCUAUAACUGAGUUUUCAGUAUGCGAUUCCACUUUUCAUGUAGAUCCACUGCUUCUGAGUGAUGGGGUGUGUGAUGGAACCAGUUGAUUUCAAGGACAUGCUUCCAUUGUUGCACUUCCUCUGCAGUGAAAUGCUUUGCUUGUUUAGAAACUCUGUUGUGUGGAGGCCAUGACUACUGAUAAAGCAUGUUGUGAUUCCGUGGGUGGUGGUGCCAGCAGAAGCCUAACUAGUCGAAAGGCAGAUCCACACCGGAACGUGAGUCUGUUCUGGUGGGGAUGAGUCUUUGACAAUUUCCUGAUAGAAGAGGGCCCAUUACAGCAUGGCUGGCUGGUCUCCUCUAAGGAAUGGUGCUGUAUUGGAUGCUCAGUGUUGAUUUCUGCUUUCAGGAGAUUAGGCCCAGCAGUAAUGUUAGCUGGGUCAGACUUGGUAAGGGGAAGUCCUUAUUGCUGAGCCCACACAUAGCCUUUAUCCCUGCUGUCAUGAACAUUUUUUAAUGGGCCCAUUGAGCAAGCACUGAGGUGCAGCUAGGUAAAGUAACAGGUAUCUUUAGAGCACGUGAUUUUGUCUGCUCUAUUUCUAGUGGAUCACGGCAGGCAUUCACGUGGGACACAAUCUUUCCUUUCAGAGACGUCCAUCCAUAUACCUUUUCCUAGGUUUCCUUGUUACCACUCUGGUUCAUUCCACAUUUUUGACCAUCCAGCCAAGCCAUCGGCAACUUUUGAUGAAUCUGUGUAUGUGUAUGCAUGCAUCUUGUCAACUCUUACUCCAGACCCAGAAGCAGGCCAAUACACUGCCUGAAGUUCUGCCACUCGGAAGAUUUUCCUUUAGUACUGCCCCCUUCAGGGUCAGCCUUUAGCGGGGCUGUAGUGCUUCUGCUCUGCACUUUUAGCGGGUACUAGAGCUAGUCAUUGGACUCGGGGAAAGCAGGAAGCAGCCCUCUGGAAUGCAGGCAACCCUGGCUAUUGUGCUCAUGAGCAGAGGAAGUUGGGGUGCCAGUAAGGAUACAAGACUGAGAGCACUAAAUAUCCACAUUAAGUGGCCAGGGGAAACCAGUCUUUGGUAUGCAGACAGGCCAUGGGUGGUGGCUAAGUGCAUAGAAAGAGACAGUAUUCCUGUCACCCUUGCAUUCUUUGAGUAGUUCAAUGCAUUUCCUCAGAACUCAGAUGCAUAUUGUGUUAUGAAUUGUGAUGGGGCUGUAGUCUGGGUGUACUUUAACAGUGUUGAGAAGGAUCUCAGUUGUCUGUCCAGCCAUCACUGGGUGCCUUUAGGCUCCAUGCCAGGUCAAGGGGAACAUUGGCACCCAAAGAUACCUAAGGCUGCCCAUGAGAUACAGAGACUCCACAAAGAAAAGCAAGUUGCAGUGUCACCCAGCAUCAUCCAAGAACAUUCCUAGAGACUCGCAGAGUUCCUUAUGAUAAAAAAAAGGUUUUGUUGUGGCCAGGUGCAG